rnacentral:rRNA from 1 species
GGUCCCGCCUGCCCAGUGACUCUUUAAACGGCCGCGGUAUCCUAACCGUGCAAAGGUAGCAUAAUCACUUGUCCCUUAAAUCGGGACUGGAAUGAAUGGCUUAAUGAGGACUAAACUGUCUCUUACGACCUGGCCAAUGAAAUUGAUCUCCCAGUACAAAAGCUGGGAUAUACCCAUAAGACGAGAAGACCCUGUGGAGCUUCAAAACCAAACCACCCAACAUGGCUCCUUGGAUUUUUAGUUGGGGCGACUUCGGAACAUAACAAAACUUCCAAAGCAUGAAAUUAGUUUCAUCAAGAUUAACACACCAAAAUUACCACACAAGACCCAGCAAUUAUUUGACUGAUCAAUGAACCAAGUUACCCCAGGGAUAACAGCGCAAUCUCCUUUUAGAGUCCAUAUCGACAAGGGG